rnacentral:rRNA from 1 species
AUGUGUUAUAUAUGUACACCCAGCAAAUCAAACAAGUGUUUAAGCAAUUGGCGCCGUGUUGCCCGCCCACUGUCCUUGGGUGGGCUGGGAGUCCAUGACCUGGAGCGCACGGGCCUUUCGCUCCGUGUCCGUUGGCUCUGGUUCAGCCGCACCGACGAUCGCCGCACUUGGAGUGGUUUGGACCUGCAGUUUUCCGCUGAGGAGCGCGCCUUCUUCUUUGCUAGCACUUACACUGUCCUUCGCAACGGUCAGACCACGAAGUUCUGGGAGGACAGAUGGAUUGGAGGACGCUCUGUCCGCGAAAUCGCGCCUCUCCUGCACUCAUGCAUUCCCAAAAGGAGAAGGAAGGCCACGACGGUGGCCGACGGCUUGCCGGGGCACCUUUGGGCGCGAGACAUCCACGAAGUUGUGGGCAUUCACGAAAUCGGCCAGUACAUCUUGCUAUGGUGCUUGAUCGAGAGCACAACGUGUUAUACUCAUAGGAUCGACUAG